rnacentral:tRNA from 1 species
GCUUGAAUAGCUCAGUGGUAGAGUAGGAGACUGAAAAUCUUUUGGUCGACGGUUCAAUCCCGUCUUCAAGCA